rfam:Medicago truncatula strain A17 chromosome 5, whole genome shotgun sequence.
AAACAGUCCCUUAUGUUUUGAUUCUUUGGUAGUUUUGGACCCCCAAGGCAAAAAAAAAAAAUUGACAUGUGGCACCUCACAUAGGGUGCCACGUCAAUGUUGAUCGAGUCAACAAUGGACUGGGGGUCCAAAACUGCCAAAGAAUCAAAACAUAUGGGGCUGUUU